AAGGAAGCCCACUAGUGCUUCAUCAGUCGAAAGUCAAUGGCUUUCCAAUUUUUCAUCGUCUUCCACUUGACAGUAGAAAUUCUUAGCAGAGUGAGACUACAAGUGUGGCAGAGUUCAGCCUUGCAUGGGAAAUAUCAACUACAAGUUUAUAACUGCACGCUUCCAAUAAACCUUGUGUUAGUAGCAUCUUUCUUUCUAUCCUCUUAAGCUGUUUCUCAUCGCUUCCUUUUCAAGCGGGUGAUUCUUCUUUUUUGCUUGCGUAUAUGGGUAGUGAGUGGCAAAUUACGCUUAUUGAAAUUUGGACAAUCACCCUCCAUUAGACAAUUUGUUGCUUAAAUGCAUGUUAUCUUAGAUUAGUUCAUGCCUUAAAAUCACUUGUCCAAGUUUUCAAUGUGAAGUUUGUAUCCAUGUACAAAUGCUUCUUAUAGGGCGAACCAUUUGAUCCCAAAAUCUGCCAUCUUUGUCCCUUUCUUGAAAUUGAAAGCUUAUAGUUUUAUGUCUAGACGUUUAGAUUUUAAACUGAAAUUGCUGCACAAGCAGUAUAGAAUUUCAGUGUUUCGUCUGUUCUAUUUUUGAUUCAGAUAGGAUUAUUUUCACUUUAUAACUUAAAUCAACUACCACUGAAGGGUUCUUCGUCACCUGUUGAUAGCAGAUUUUCCAAACAUUAUACUCAUCCUCAUCUGCUAUCCUCUCCACUACCUAAACCAUUUCUUCAGAUUAUUGACGGACUGCAGGACUUUGGAAAGGUGAUAUCGGAUAGAAAGCCCUGUGCUCAAACCGCUAGAGCUGCCAAUUCCACUUAUAAGAAUUAUUAUUGCAUUAGGUGAUGGUACUAGAGAUAAACUUAUUAUUCGUGCUAGCUGUGGUUGGGACUUGGGACGCUGUUGGUUAUACAGCAAGCUUUGACACUGUUGAAGUUUGACAACCAAUACGGUUGCCAUUUUCUUCUUUGAGGCCUACUAACUGUAUGGGAUGCUUUCUUCCAUUUGAUCAUAGCAAUAUUGUAACGAUGCAGGCAU